UACGAAGGGGGCUAGCGUUGCUCGGAAUCACUGGGCGUAAAGCGCACGUAGGCGGCUUCUUAAGUCAGGGGUGAAAUCCUGGAGCUCAACUCCAGAACUGCCUUUGAUACUGAGGAGCUUGAGUCCGGGAGAGGUGAGUGGAACUGCGAGUGUAGAGGUGAAAUUCGUAGAUAUUCGCAAGAACACCAGUGGCGAAGGCGGCUCACUGGCCCGGUACUGACGCUGAGGUGCGAAAGCGUGGGGAGCAACAGGG
rnacentral:rRNA from 1 species